rnacentral:rRNA from 1 species
CCCUUAGAUGUUCUGGGCCGCACGCGCGCUACACUGAUUCAUGCAACAAGUUUUGUCCUUGGCUGAUAGGCCUGGGUAAUCUUUGAACGUGAAUCGUGAUGGGGAUAGAUGAUUGCAAUUAUUCAUCUUCAACGAGGAAUUCCUAGUAAACGCAAGUCAUCAGCUUGCAUUGAUUACGUCCCUGCCCUUUGUACACACCGCCCGUCGCACCUACCGAUUGAAUGGUCCGGUGAAAUCUUCGGAUCUGAGAGAUGUCUGAUUAAUUUCGGACGCCUUUUGGAAAAGUUGUUUAAACCUUAUCAUUUAGAGGAAGGAGAAGUCGUAACA